rnacentral:rRNA from 1 species
UACGUAGGGUGCGAGCGUUAAUCGGAAUUACUGGGCGUAAAGCGUGCGCAGGCGGUUUUGUAAGCCAGAUGUGAAAUCCCCGGGCUUAACCUGGGAAUGGCAUUUGGGACUGCAAGGCUGGAGUGCGGCAGAGGAGACUGGAAUUCCUGGUGUAGCAGUGAAAUGCGUAGAUAUCAGGAGGAACACCGAUGGCGAAGGCAGGUCUCUGGGCAUUAACUGACGCUGAGGAGCGAAAGCAUGGGGAGCGAACAGG